rnacentral:rRNA from 1 species
UACGUAGGGGGCAAGCGUUGUCCGGAAUCAUUGGGCGUAAAGAGCGUGUAGGCGGUCCGGUAAGUCGGCUGUGAAAGUCCAGGGCUCAACCCUGGGAUGCCGGUCGAUACUGCCGGACUAGAGUUCGGAAGAGGCGAGUGGAAUUCCCGGUGUAGCGGUGAAAAUGCGCAGAUAUCGGGGAGGAACACCUAUGGCGAAGGCAGCUCGCUGGGACGUUACUGACGCUGGAGACGCGAAAGCGUGGGGGAGCAAACAGG